GAAUUUGUUUAUUUUUAUUCUAUACAAAAUGCUUUAUUUACCAUCAUGCCUCCAUUCAAAUAAUUAUACAAAUGCAUACAUUUAAAGUGUUUCAAACUAUAUUUCAGUUCACAGCUCAAUCCAUAGGAAAGUUGAAUACAGAAAAGCAAAGCACCAACAUAAUGUCUUAGACACUAUUUUAAACAAAUAACACUUCAUGUAACACUUUGAGUGCUAGGUGAGCAAGCUGCGUCACUCCUAGAACUGGCACCCAAAAGGUUAAAUCCAUCAGCAGAGACUGGAAUUCUCAUCAUCCGACAGACUUACAUUAGAAGGGUCUUCUUUAUACAGUGGCACAGGGCAAAAUCACCACUGUACAGCAUUGUACAGAAAAGGGAAAAUAAAAAAGAAAAUAGAAAAAAAAAUCUCAUAUUUACAAUACAUAUACUUUACAUAAAUACAAGAACAACACUUACAUAAUAUUAUUUAACUUAUAUAACAGAGGUGUUGCCUAAUCACUACAUAGUAUAUAAUGCAAUGGGAUUGGGAAAACAUGAAGGGUGAAGAGACUGCAUGUUGAUUCCAUAUUGGGGUAUUUAAAACAUUAGUUAAAACAUUUCCCCCUCCAAAAUAAAAAUAUAUCAUUAAUUUCAUAUAUGUCCAUAUUUGUGCUGGUAUUUGUCAUUAUUACAAAGAACACAUGCUUUUGACUUCUUCAUUAGUAACAACAUUAUAUCUGAGAAUUUCCAACAUUUGUGGUUUUGAGAGUCAAAUAAAGUGUCAAAUUCAAAUGACUGUCAUUAUCAGUAUGUUUGUAAUGUAUAUAAUGAACAAGGGCUCUGAUUUCUUCUUCUAAAAAUGUGAAACACCGGAAGUGUAAAUUACAAAAUAAUUCCUGAAAAAAACUUUGGUAAAAUAUAUCUAAUGAAAUUAAAAAAAUAUCUCCAUUUCCUGAUGUUUAAAAAGAAAAGAAAAAAUGUGUAAAUAUACAAGUCACUAUUUGCAUAUACAGCAUGGUUGGCUUAUGAUGUCAUACUUGUAUUUUAAGCAUCUGUUUAACUCUUCGUCGAAACACGACAAAUAAAAGAGUUUAAAACAAAAAGUAUAUUUAUCUCCUCAAGUACAGAAAAAAAAGAAAGUUCUACUUAGGCUUAAAGCAAGCUGCAAAGUCAUCAAAGAUUUUAAAGCAAACCCCAAACAGAAUUGAGAUUUAAUACAAUGUAUGUCAAGGAUUAUUUCAAAAUCAUGGUAGUUGUUUGCAAAGAUUGGUUUUAAACAUUGAAUUUGUUUAAGGGAGUCUAUCAUUGGAUAAUUAUUGUGCAUGUUCUGUAUAGAUGUUUAUUUGAGGUCUAUUCACUUAUCUAAUCAGUAAAUAGUUGCUAUCAUACAAACUGAACUGGACACAGUGAAAAAAAGCUUAACUAGUGAUGUCCCGAACAGUUCGCCAUGAACGGUUCGCUGCGGACUCAUCAUUGAGCAAUCUUUGACCCUGUACCUCACAGUCAGACACAUUCCAGCCAAUCAGCAGCAGACCCUCCCUCCCAGACACUCCCACCUCCUGGACAGCAUCCAUUUUACAUUCAUUGUGAAGCUGCAUUCUUAGUGAGCUGUCCAGGAGGUGGGAGGGUCUGGGAGAGAGGGUCUUCUGCUGAUUGGCUGGAAUGUGUCUGCUGACUGUGAGGUACAGGGUCAAAGUUUACUCAAUGAUGAGUCCAUGGCGAACCGUUCGUGCCGAACCGUUCGCGAACCGUUCGGCGAACCGUUCGGGACAUCACUAAUCUUAACCCAUUUCUCCUAAAUAAAUUAAUCCAAUCACUAAAUCACAACUCAUGUUUAGUGAGCUUUUUCUUUUUUUGCCCUCAACCUGUUAAUUUAAAACAUCUGCACUUCUCUCAUUCUCAUAUUGUGCUCUUCUACCUCAUAGGAUCAUCAAACUCAGGCACACGUGUAUCAUUAAUUACACUAGCCACCUACAUUGGCAAUUUGUAGGGGAGCAAAGGGGGAAGAAUGAACAUGUUAUCAACCCAUCCACUGAUGUACACAAAUGAGCAUUCUCUUCCCACACCCAUCUAUAAUACCAAUUUUGGCCAUAUCUUAGCCACUUUUAAAUGAUAUCAUAACCACUUUUAAUUGAUACUUUAUUUAUAUUUAACUAUGGAUGUGGCCUGUUGUUGGUGUGCAAUGAGUUGAUCUCGGCCAUGGAGACGGGGUAAGAAUUACAUGUUUAUGUUCCCUAAAUCAUGAAUAUAAACAGUAUGACGAUAGGUUCCCUUUUAUAGAUAAAAAAAUGUUUACAAUGCUUACAAAUCAAACUUGCAAUGAAUAUUUUAACAUGAGUAAACCCAUUUUAAGACAAGUGGUCAGGUUUAAGGCUUAAAAAAAUGUUCAUCAAGUAAACCUGUAUAAUUUUCAGGUUAUGUAACUAGUUAAAUGGAGUUACUAAAUGCUGAACAACAAAUCACAUAGCUUUAUGAGUAGGUCACAUUCACAACAUUUUUAAACAUGAUUUAUUAUCCUUCAUAGGGACAAGACAACAAACACUGGUAAAAACAAAACAAAAAAACACCUAAAGUAGGAGAUCUACAAUUUUUACAAUGCUUAGCCAGCCUGAAUUCUGCCAAAGCAUCUUGGGAGGUGUAGUUCUCCAACAUCUGAGGGAUCUAGCUUUGGCCUCUUCAAAUACAUACAAAUGUUUCUUUGAGGCAAAGGUCUGGAACAUUACAAUGACUAUUUUUUUUGAAGGAUUUACAUUAUCCAAAUGCCCAUUUUGUAAAAAAAACAAAACAAAAAGCAGCCAGACAAAUUUGAUAUUUGAUGCUAUUUUUAAAGUCCAAUUGACUUUACAUUUUUUUUACUAUAUAUUCUAUCUUGAUUUGUACAUGUCAAUGUGUUUUGCCUACCAUUACCGUAUGACUAGCCCCUUCCAAGUACAAGUUAAAAAAAAAGGGGAUAGCAAAUGCUUGGCUCUCCAACUAUUGGUAAACUAAACUCCAUUAAUAAUUCAUCACAUAUGCUCAUGGGAGCUGUAAAUUGCCUACUGCUGAUUAAGAAAAUAGAUACAUUUCAAUAUUAUUAUAGCUUAGUUACUUGUGCUUUACCAAAUCACAUAAAUAGUUAUUUGAUAACUUUGUAAGUCUAAAGUAAGUUUCAAUAUGUUGGAAAAGGUUUAAUUUUUAAUCACAACAAAAGUAAUGGCGAAUCAAGUAAUAUAUCCUAAUCUUACAUUCUAUAAUGCAAAAAGCAUUAAUAGUACAAGAAAAGAAAUGUCUUGAUUUUACAAUAAUAAAAAUGGUUUAAUGUAAUUGAACAUACUAGGAAAUUAACAGAUAUCAAGAAGUUUUUGUACCAUAGGAUAUCAUGUUUAAAAUCCAUAUUAGUUUUAACAUAUAUAUGCUACGAUAUAUAGAGAGGCAGUAUUGCUUAAGUUAAAUGAACACACCAUGCGCCAUAACCAAUACAGCAUGUGGUAGUGGUUAUGGUACCAGGAAUGCCCUGGCGCCCUCACAAUAUAAGUAGUCAAACUGUUUUAGAAUGGUUUGACCUCUUAACUGGUGUCUGCUGAGCCAGGAGAGCCCUUUCCUUAUGGCACAUAUUAUCAUUUUUCAGGAAUAUUUGAGUUUAUGAUGGUGUGCUAUUUCAUACGAGAGAUAUUUUUACUGAUGCAAGAAUUUACUUUUUAAAUGUUAGAUAAUGCAUAUGUGCAUCCAAAGAAUUAUAACUAAAUGCUUAUGUAUACAUAUUUUGAAGCUACAUUGAUGGAAUUAAAAAAAAUUAUCUAAAAACUUUGUAAGUGACAAAUUUUUGGACAAUGUAACUCCUCUGCAGUUAGUACACAGGACCCGAAUUGCUCCAACUUUGCCUAAUUGCUUUGAAGAAUAAAGACAAAUGUGCUUUUUUUUACAUCCUUUUGUUGCUUUAUAUUGAUAGCAUAUUUAUCUGACUGUUCUGUAUAGUAGUAUUGAAGAAUAAUAGACAGGGAUUAGAUAGUCUACUUAACUGUAUGCAGCUAGUGUGUGCUUCUGCAUAUGUUAAUACCGAGAUAUUUUAUGUUUUACAUCUACACGACCUACCAGUGAUCAUCUAAGGUGAUCAACGGAGAUCACUUAUUUUCUAUAUAUCAAUAUGAAUUGUUCUGUCACAUGUUGACUACAACAUUUUUUUUCACGUUACUGAAUGAGGGGGAGUAUGUGGAAAUACAGGAAUAUUUUAUGCAUGUCAUUUUGAAAAAAAAAUGGCCUAUAUACUUUUUUUUUUAUUUGUACAAUUUUGUACAAGAAUGUACCUAGUACGUGUGCCUCUGCACAAGCAGAAUUCCAUUUUGUCUGUUAGUUAAUGAUUUACUGAAAAUGGAAACUGAUAUAACAAUAAAAAGAGAGCCCUGUGCCGUCACUAUAACCAAAGGCAUUUUUUUUUAUUGGUGGAAUCACACUGACCAAGUUCCUUAGUCGUUAUGCUAGUCACUAGAGUACAUUAGUUCCUUGCAGGUUAAAAUCCUAACCUACAAACCUACUUUUAAAUCGUAAACAUUAGGUUCAAAGUACUGAUUUCAAAUAUUAAAUUAAAAUUGGAGUAAUAUCACACAUGUACUACAUACACACAACACUAUGUGAUUAGCACUGAUUUUGAGAUUAAGCUUGUUGGUGCCCGAGGAGAUUCUACUCUGACCUAAAAGUCUCUGCCAAUCUGAUGUAAAAACAGGUUCCAGGAACUAUACUCUCAGAGAAAUAUGUGUGACUGCACUCUUUACUCUGAAUAUUUUAAGCUAUUUGUGUUUUAAUACUAAGCAUUAAAAAUACAGUAAGCAACAUGUACAUAUAUUUUGGAUAAAAAUGAUGAAAUAAUACAGAUUUUGUUAUUAAUAAAACCAGUUGUAAUGUCAGAUUUCAUAUGUAGUAUGCAAGAAAAGUGCUACAUGACUAAUAGGAGUUUAGAUUUGAAAGGUCAUUUUUGUUGCUAAUACUAAUUUUAAAUAAAUAUUCUGUGGUAUAGUGAUUACUGCAACUGUGUUUGGGGAAAAUAAUCACAGUAUAAUACAAUUUAUCAUUUUAACCCCUUAAGGACACAUGACGUGUGACAUGUCAUGAUUCCCUUUUAUUCCAGAAGUUUGGUCGUUAAGGGGUUAAAGUUACUAAUUUCAACAUAUCUGGUUAGUUUGUAUGUUUUUUAAUAUUGUUUUGAGAAUGUAUUUAAAUAUUAUUUAAAUUUUUAGACAUAUAUUGUACUCUAUCAAACAUGUUCUUUAGGUAUGGUAUGAAAAUGUGCCUUUAACAUAGUGACUGUGCUAUCUCUCUUUUUAAGUGCCUUACAGGAGUAUUCCUGUAAUACAGCUAGGAUCUUAAACUCUGUUAUGUUAAAGCGAUAGCGCCUGUUGUAAAGGCAAUUUUUGUACCGAAUGACACACAAAGACAUUAUCACGACCCUAACUUUUACCAAUGUUUAAAAGACAACAGGUUUAAAAACAUUUAAUAAAUUACAUUGAAUAAUGG